CCUGAACGCUGGCGGCGUGGCUAAGACAUGCAAGUCGCACGGGGUCGCAAGACCCAGUGGCGGACGGGUGAGUAAUGUAUCGCUAAUGUACCCUAGAGCCUGGGAUAGCUGCCCGAAAGGGCAGGUAAUACCAGAUGAUAUAACUUUAUCGCAUGAUAAGGUUCUCAAAGCAGCAAUGCACUCUUGGAGCAGGCGAUACCGUAUCAGCUAGUUGGUGAGGUAACGGCUCACCAAGGCGAUGACGCGUAGCUGGUCUGAGAGGACGACCAGCCACAUCGGGACUGAGACACU
rnacentral:rRNA from 1 species